rnacentral:rRNA from 1 species
UGGGUAGGGGAGCGUUGUGUAAGUGGAUGAAGGUGAGUUGUAAAGCUUGCUGGACAUAUCACAAGUGCGAAUGCUGACAUGAGUAACGACAAUGCGAGUGAAAAACUCGCACGCCGAAAGACCAAGGUUUCCUGCGCAACGUUAAUCGACGCAGGGUUAGUCGGCCCCUAAGGCGAGGCAGAAAUGCGUAGUCGAUGGGAAACGGGUUAAUAUUCCCGUACUUCUAGUUACUGCGAUGGAGGGACGGAGAAGGCUAGGCAAGCUUGGCGUUGGUUGUCCAAGUGA